UACGGGGGGGGCAAGCGUUGUUCGGAAUUACUGGGUGUAAAGGGCGCGUAGGCGGCCUUCUAAGUCGGACGUGAAAUCCCUCGGCUUAACCGAGGAACUGCGUCCGAUACUGAAAGGCUUGAAUCCGGGAGAGGGAUGUGGAAUUCCAGGUGUAGCGGUGAAAUGCGUAGAUAUCUGGAGGAACACCGGUGGCGAAGGCGGCAUCCUGGACCGGCAUUGACGCUGAGGCGCGAAAGCUAGGGGAGCAAACGGG
rnacentral:rRNA from 1 species